AAUCUGUCUAAGGAAGUCGGAUCACCUGGGAAGAUCGAGAGCUUUUUCCGGAUGGAAGUGGCCGAAGGAAUUCAAAGGUAGAAAUUCAUUGCUUAUAGUUAAUGCUUUUCAUGUCUGAUUAUGAUUUUGACCAUGCUAUACUCGUAGCAUAAUUGAUUGGUGCUUAGAGUAAUGGCCAUAUUCCAUAGUAUAUCCUAUUAUCGAUUUCAUUUAUUGUCAUCAGGAACAUUAACAUUGUUGCUGUUAUCAUCAUCAUAAUUGUUGUUUUACCUACGUGUAACUACUGCCAGUUUUCUUGUCUUAUUUGGCUUUUAUCUUUUAUCGUUUAAAAAUUGUGUCAACAUGAAUGUGGUUGGGAUCACAGCAAUGGAUUCUAUGCUGAACAUGUAAUCAAGUGUUAAUGUUCUAUCUAACUUGGUUGAACAUGUAAAUUGCCUUAACUACAUCAUUAUUAAAAACUCCUUGGCUGGGAGCUGAAAGGCUGCCAUAUUUCCUUUGUGCAUAUAACCCAAUAAUUUCAUCCACUGUGAUUAUCCGUCAGUAUGGUAGCCUAGGUUAUCCUGCAAGUGGCAGUGUUUAGAUUAUCAUCGUUUAUACAGUUUUGCCGCCUCCAGUAUUUGAUGAAAUUUACUGUUUUUUGUGCAUCCACUUCGUAACUUUAUUGUGUUAUUCUAUCCCUUUGCUGCAUGCUAGAAUUUUCGGCCUUGUUUGGCAUAAAUAAGAGAAGCAUUUAGAAGGAUACGAGAAACCAUUCUAAGGUGCAAUGUAACAGAUAUGGUCCAGGGUGGCUUGAAAUAUGUUUAAGGAUGUUUGUUUUCCUGAACUACCUUGGUUAAUCAAAUGAGGGUUCACAUUUAUUAGGCUCUAUUUUAAACUUGGUUUAACUCUAAGCGGUUGUAUAGUAUGGGUUACAUUAUUAAACAUUUGGACACUGUACAUUUGGCCUAUCUGUGGUUUACUUGGUGUACUAAUGAUUUUUGGUCUAUAUGAGCUCCUUUUAUUUAUCCCUAAGGUAAACUCCGAAACAAAAAGUCCUCGUCUGAUGAUUGUGUAUUACCGACUACUUGUUCUUGCAAGCUAGAAGCAUCCAGUACAUCGGAACAUGUGGCUCAGGCUAUUUGAGGAAUUGGUGGCCCGUCACGACAGAAAAGUAGAGUUUAGUUUCAGACUGCCCCAUAGAAAUGGGAUCAGGUUUACAUCUUUUUUAUUUUUGCCGGUCCUGAUGCUUCUGAAGAUCAUACAAAGUACAAACAGCACGCCUGCGCUCACAAACGGUAGUUAUGGUGUUUGCAGGCUCUGAUGUAUCUUGCCAACAAAAAAAGAUAGUAAUAAAGAAAACCCCAAUGGUUAAUAUUUACCUAUUGACUAUCUCAAUCUUUGCCUGCUACUGAAAUCCCUUAUGGGUCAAUUUGAUUUAGGUUUCUAUUUCCCAGUACAGAUUGAAGGAUUGAUAGGUUUGUGAAUGUACAUGCCUCUUUUGGUAUGUAGGAUUGGAUUAGGUGACUCAAAAAAUUCAUAGUACAUUUAAGGUGGAGGUGAAUGAUUAUUCAUUUGAGAGGAUUAGAAGAAAAUCACAGAUGUGAAGGAAAUUUAUUCCAGCUAAUCCUAUCAUUUUAGGGGAUUGAAAUAAAUAAAUUUUCUUAAACGAUAAUCCAUAUUUCAUUUUCAAGUUGGAUGAUAUUUUUUUCACUAACUUCUUUGAACGUAUCUUCAAUAUAGUGAGUGACACACCCAACCAUGAUAUUCUCCGAACAUCAUGGUAGGCAUGUGCUGGCCGACACCCAAAGGUGGCAAAGCUAUAUUAGAAUGCAUGAGAACAAUAAAUAAAUAAGACUUGUAAAUAUAAUUAAUAUGCAAAUGAGGAACGUAUUCAGAGUAUACAACUAACUAUAACACUAAGGAAUAAUAUAAAAUUGAAUGAACAAAUGAGUGAGUCUUACACCGAGAGGACUCAAAGAUGCCGACGCGAGAAUGCCUUGACACCAAGAUUGUACACCUCAAUUCGAAAUCUUGAGGGGGCGCAAAACAAAUAUGAGUAGACCAAGUUAUAUAUAAAUAAUAUUGAAAUAGUUAUCAACAUAUUAACCCCCAAAGUUUAAAGAAAACUCAUAGUAUAAUAAGUAGUAGGUUUUCCGAAAACCCUAGGAUGCCAUAAAAAUCUUUAUAAAACAUAUCUCGUAUACAUUGUGCUAACUAGUGAUAUCAGUAUCACCCGAAGGCAUGGA
rnacentral:lncRNA from 1 species